rnacentral:rRNA from 1 species
UACGAAGGUGGCUAGCGUUGUUCGGAAUCACUGGGCGUAAAGCGCACGCAGGCGGAUCGAUAAGUCGGGGGUGAAAGCCCGGGGCUCAACCUCGGAAUUGCCUCCGAUACUGUCGGUCUCGAGUCCGGGAGAGGUGAGUGGAAUUCCUAGUGUAGAGGUGAAAUUCGUAGAUAUUAGGAAGAACACGAGUGGCGAAGGCGGCUCACUGGCCCGGUACUGACGCUCAGGUGCGAAAGCGUGGGGAGCAAACAGG